rnacentral:rRNA from 1 species
UAGGGAAUCUUCCGCAAUGGACGCAAGUCUGACGGAGCAACGCCGCGUGAGUGAAGAAGGAUUUCGGUUCGUAAAACUCUGUUGUUAGAGAAGAACAGCGCAUAGAGUAACUGUUAUGCGUGUGACGGUAUCUAACCAGAAAGCCACGGCUAACUACGUGCCAGCAGCCGCGGUAAUACGUAGGUGGCAAGCGUUGUCCGGAUUUAUUGGGCGUAAAGCGAGCGCAGGCGGUCAAUUAAGUCUGAUGUGAAAGCCCCCGGCUCAACCGGGGAGGGUCAUUGGAAACUGGUUGACUUGAGUGCAGAAGGGGGGAGUGGAAUUCCAUGUGUAGCGGUGAAAUGCGUAGAUAUAUGGAGGAACACCGGUGGCGAAAGCGGCUCUCUGGUCUGUAACUGACGCUGAGGCUCGAAAGCGUGGGGAGCGAACAGG